rnacentral:rRNA from 1 species
CAAAGGAGCGAUCCGGUGGCGGAUGGGCAUGCGGCGCAUUAGCUAGACGGCGGGGUGACGGCCCACCGUGGCGACGAUGCGUAGGGGUUCUGAGAGGAAGGCCCCCCACACUGGGACUGAGACACGGCCCAGACUCCUACGGGAGGCAGCAGUGAGGAAUAUUGGUCAAUGGGCGGAAGCCUGAACCAGCCAAGUCGCGUGAGGGAUUAAGGCCCUGCGGGUCGUAAACCUCUUUUGCCGGGGAGCAGUGGUCCGGACGCGUCCGGGCCGGGAGAGUACCCGGAGAAAAAGCAUCGGCUAACUCCGUGCCAGCAGCCGCGGUAAUACGGAGGAUGCGAGCGUUAUCCGGAUUUAUUGGGUUUAAAGGGUGCGUAGGCGGGCAUUUAAGCCGGCGGUCAAAUGUCGGGGCUCAACCCCGGCCUGCCGUCGGAACUGGGUGCCUUGAGUGGGCGAGAAGUAUGCGGAAUGCGUGGUGUAGCGGUGAAAUGCAUAGAUAUCACGCAGAACCCCGAUUGCGAAGGCAGCAUACCGGCGCCCUACUGACGCUGAGGCACGAAAGUGCGGGUAUCGAACAGGAUUAGAUACCCUGGUAGUCCGCACAGUAAA